rnacentral:rRNA from 1 species
UCGAGCGGACAGAAGGGAGCUUGCUCCCGGAUGUUAGCGGCGGACGGGUGAGUAACACGUGGGUAACCUGCCUGUAAGACUGGGAUAACUCCGGGAAACCGGAGCUAAUACCGGAUAGUUCCUUGAACCGCAUGGUUCAAGGAUGAAAGACGGUUUCGGCUGUCACUUACAGAUGGACCCGCGGCGCAUUAGCUAGUUGGUGAGGUAACGGCUCACCAAGGCGACGAUGCGUAGCCGACCUGAGAGGGUGAUCGGCCACACUGGGACUGAGACACGGCCCAGACUCCUACGGGAGGCAGCAGUAGGGAAUCUUCCGCAAUGGACGAAAGUCUGACGGAGCAACGCCGCGUGAGUGAUGAAGGUUUUCGGAUCGUAAAGCUCUGUUGUUAGGGAAGAACAAGUGCAAGAGUAACUGCUUGCACCUUGACGGUACCUAACCAGAAAGCCACGGCUAACUACGUGCCAGCAGCCGCGGUAAUACGUAGGUGGCAAGCGUUGUCCGGAAUUAUUGGGCGUAAAGGGCUCGCAGGCGGUUUCUUAAGUCUGAUGUGAAAGCCCCCGGCUCAACCGGGGAGGGUCAUUGGAAACUGGGAAACUUGAGUGCAGAAGAGGAGAGUGGAAUUCCACGUGUAGCGGUGAAAUGCGUAGAGAUGUGGAGGAACACCAGUGGCGAAGGCGACUCUCUGGUCUGUAACUGACGCUGAGGAGCGAAAGCGUGGGGGAGCGAA